UACGAAGGGGGCUAGCGUUGUUCGGAUUCACUGGGCGUAAAGGGUGCGUAGGCGGUCGGGUAAGUCUGAUGUGAAAUCUCACAGCUUAACUGUGAAACUGCAUUGGAUACUAUUCGGCUUGAGAGUUGGGAGGGGGGACUGGAAUUCUUGGUGUAGCAGUGAAAUGCGUAGAUAUCAAGAGGAACACCAGUGGCGAAGGCGAGUCCCUGGACAACUUCUGACGCUGAGGCACGAAAGCUAGGGGAGCAAACAGG
rnacentral:rRNA from 1 species